rnacentral:rRNA from 1 species
UGAGGAAUAUUGCGCAAUGGGGGAAACCCUGACGCAGCCACGCCGCGUGGUGGAUGACACCCCUAUGGGGCGUAAACACCUUUUAUGAGAGAAGAAGUCCCUAUUCGAUAGGGUUUGACGGUACCUCAUGAAUAAGCACCGGCUAACUCCGUGCCAGCAGCCGCGGUAAUACGGAGGGUGCAAGCGUUGUCCGGAAUCACUGGGUGUAAAGGGUGUGUAGGCGGAGCUGUAAGUCAGAGGUGAAAUCCUGCGGCUUAACCGUAGAACUGCCUUUGAUACUGCAGCCCUUGAAUAUCGGAGAGGUCACUAGAAUUCGUGGUGUAGCGGUGAAAUGCGUAGAUAUCACGAGGAAUACCAGAGGCGUAGGCGGGUGACUGGACGAUUAUUGACGCUGAGGCACGAAAGCGUGGGGAGCAAACAGGAUUAGAUACCCCCGUAGUCC